UUUUUGGCAUCAUCUGAAAAAUAGAGGACGGACUCCUUAGGUAAUCUAAAAAUGAAUAAGGCUAUUAUUGUCCAAACACUAGAAUUUUAUCCUUCUUUAUAAAUACUUCCCUCAUUUUGGGCUGAAUCAAAAGUCCCCCAUAAUUUAAACUAUUAAGCAAGACUUUUAAUACCUCGAUGUGGGAUUCAGACUCUCAACAAAACUUGCUUACCAUUAUAAAUAACCCAAAUGAUCGAGUAAAGCUCAGUCUCUGUUAUUAAAAUAAAAGAAAAAAAAAAACAAGAACGAGUAGGCCAAAGUAAGAGCAAAACAUAGGUUAAGGGGGCAUAUUGAACUAUUUUAACUUUCAAGGGACAAUGUGAGAUUUGAUGAUAAUUUUAGGGAAAGUAAAGCAAUUAACCCCUAAAAAAGAAAGAUAAUUAAGGGAGUGCCAAUGUUGUGGCACUAAUGAAAAAUUGUGACAUAAUUGACAGUUGAGGGGACAUGAACUGAAAUAUAUAUAUAUAUAUAUAUUUUAGGAAUUAUGGAAUUGCAUUCAUAAUUCAGCCAAAAAAGCCACUAGCCACAAAGGGCAAUUACAAUAAGGGAGCGAUCUAACAUCAAAAUUAAGACAAUCUAGGGCUAUUCCACUAAUGAUCACACAAGAUCGAAGAGACUCUAACCUGCAUUCCAACUAAGAGUGCAAACUCAUAACUACCAAAAAUAGAUAAAGCUUGAAAACAACAAGCCUUGACAAAACAAAUAAAACUCUCACAAAUGAGAGGUGGAAAGCUCUCACAAAGAAGUGGUGAAAAACUCUCAUGAAAUGAGGAGUAAUGCUAUUUAGACACACAACAUUGAUCACCUUAGCUAACCACCUUAUGUGGCAACUGAUGUGUCAUGCCAUAUCAAUUAAUCAAUGUUGCCAUGUGUAUUCUAUUUAUUUAUUUAUUAUCUUUUCAAUAAUCCUUAAAAAAAAUUUAAAAAAUUUAAAAUUUAAAAUUAAAAUAAAAAAACCCUAGCGUCCCGGGUAAGUGGCCUCACGUUUGUUCUCAACUCUUGCUAGCGUCUCUAAUAUUUCCUUCCUCCAUGGUUGCUGCACUAUGAUAGGAGUAUCGCUAGAACGUGGCUGUGAUAGGAGUCCCCCCAAUUACUCUAUUCUCUACUUUGUUUCUCUCAUUGCCUCCCUUCCUCCACCAAAUUUAUCCAUCCCCAUCAUCCACUGUUGUUGGUGAGAGUUAAAGUUUUCUCAAUAAAAAUGAAAUUUGCAUCCCCUGGGUGAUUGGGUGGGUUGAAGAAUGGAGAGGUUCACUUAUCUAUUCUUCUCCAAAAGCCUGUCUGAAAAAGAGUUUGAACAUUGAGGUACAUACCCAAUUUUUAGUGUAAUUUUGUUGUAAAAAUUGAUAUCCAGGUUCUUAGUUUUUGUUUCUUGAAUAUGCAAUUUGUUGUGAAA
rnacentral:lncRNA from 1 species